rnacentral:misc_RNA from 1 species
AACCUAGCACACCUGCGGUGUGUACCUGCGGAGGGAUCAUUGCACAAUACAAUAUGAAGGCUGUCCGCAGCUGGAGUAUUUUAUUACCCUUGUCUUUUGCGCACUUGUUGUUUCCUGGGCGGGUUCGCUCGCCACCAGGACCACCAAAUAAACCUUUUUUAUGCAGUUGCAAUCAGCGUCAGUACAAACAAUGUAAAUCAUUUACAACUUUUAACAAUGGAUCUCAGAUCGGAAGAGCAC